rnacentral:rRNA from 1 species
UAAAAAAAUUAAUUAAUUAAAUAGAAACUUAAACAACAAAAGUUUAAAAAGAAUAAAAUAAAAUAUAAAUAUUCUUAUUUUUUCUAAAAAGCAUUAAAAAAAAGAACUGAAACAUCUUAGUAUCUUAAAUAUAAAUAUUAUUUAUGAAAGUAAUGGUGAAUGAAAUCAUAAAAACAAAAUGAUUACACAUAAUAAAUAAUUUUAAGUUAUCUAUAAAGAAAGUACUAUGAAGGAAAUUAAUAAAUAAUUAAUAAUAAACAAUGAGAAUCAUUUACCUUUUGUAUAAUGGAUUUAUAAGAAAUUAAAUUAGCAAGCUUCAAGGCAGAAGAAAUUAAAUUAGUUAAUUUAACCCGAAACUAAACGAUCUAAUUGUGAAUAAUAUUAAGUAUGAACCAAUAAAUGUAGAAAAAUUUUUGGAUAAUUUGCAAUUAGCAGCGAAAAACUAAUCGAGUUUAGAUAUAGCUGGUUUUCUAUGAAAUUUAUUUAAGUUAAUCUUUUUCAUUAAAAAGAAAGAUUAUAAGUUAAAAAAUUUAUAAUCAAAAGAGAAAAAACUCUAAUUAGAAAUUAAUAUGCUCUAAUAAUAAAAUAACAAAUAAUUAAUAAUAAAGACAUUAUAAAAGUAGGCUUAGAAACAGCCAUAUUUUAAAAAUUACGUAAUAGUUUAUUUAUCAAAAAAUUUAAUUAUUAAAUACAGCACAAUUUAUAUAAAAGUUCUAAAAAAAGUAAUAGAAUAUUUUAUUAACCAUAAAGAAAUUUUAAUAAAAGAAAUAAUAUAAAUAUCAAUAAAAAUUAAUUUAUUCCUAAGGAUUCUUAUUCUAUCAAAUAGUAAGGUAAUUCAAACUCUCAAUAAAAAAGGAGAAUAUUAUUCAUUAUUCAAGAAAAAAUAAAUUUAAUAAUUGUAUUUAUCUAACUAAAGAAGGAAUAAAMAAUGAGAAUAACUAUAUUUAAGGAACUCGGCAAAUUUAAUAUCGACUGUUUACCAAAAACAUAGCCCUUGUAAUUAAUCAAAGGUGAAACCUGCCCAGUGAUUCUUAAUUAAAAAUAAGAAAAAUAUUUAAAAAGAAUUAAAAGGACGCGGUAACCUUGACUGUGAUAAUGUAGCAUAAUCACUCGCCAUUUAAUUGAUGGAUAGUAUGAAUGGUUUAACGAAUAUUACACUAUCUAAAGUAUAGAUCUCAUAAAAAUGAAAUAAUAGUUAAGAUGCUAUUUAAAAUUGUAAGACGAAAAGACCCUAUAGAGCUUAACUAUAAUCUUUUUUAACAAAUCAGAAAAAAAAAUUCUUCUUAAAUUAAAAAGACUGGUA